CGUAGGAUGCAAGCGUUGUCCGGAUUUACUGGGCGUAAAGCGCGCGCAGGCGGCAGGUUAUGUAAGGUGUGAAAUCUCCCUGCUCAACGGGGAGGGUGCACUUUAGACUGACCAGCUAGAGGGCGGUAGAGGGUGGUGGAAUUGCUGGUGUAGCGGUGAAAUGCGUAGAGAUCAGCAGGAACACCCGUGGCGAAGGCGGCCACCUGGGCCGUACCUGACGCUGAGGCGCGAAGGCUAGGGGAGCGAACGGGAUUAGAUACCCCGGUAGUCCUAGCAGUAAACGAUGUCCACUAGGUGUGGGGGGUAGUUGACCCCUUCCGUGCCGAAGCCAACGCAUUAAGUGGACCGCCUGGGGAGUACGGUCGCAAGACUA
rnacentral:rRNA from 1 species